rnacentral:rRNA from 1 species
GGGUAAGUAGUGGCUAGUGGACGGGGUAAUGCGUGGGGCGGGAGGUGUGUCCGGAAGUGUGGUGCGUAAAGUGCGCGGAGGGGGCGGGUCAGUGGUAGGGUGAAAGGUCGAGGCUGAACCGCGGGGCUUCAGUCGAGACGGGCUAGGUAGAGUGUGGUAGGGGAGAUCGUAAUGCCUGGGGUAGCGGUGAAAUGCGCAGAUAUCAGGAGGAACACCGGUGGCGAAGGCGGAUCUCUGGGCCAUUACUGACGCUGAGGAGCGAAAGCGUGGGGAGCGAACAGGAUUAGAUACCCAGUAGUC